rfam:Aspergillus wentii DTO 134E9 unplaced genomic scaffold ASPWEscaffold_2, whole genome shotgun sequence.
GCUCCAGUAGCUCAAUGGUAGGGCGCCAGACUUGUAAGUUGACCUGACGCCAUGAACACUUUGAAUAAAGAACUAACAAUGCAAUAGCUAAUCUGGAGAUUGCGGGUUCGAGUCCCGUCUGGAGUA